rnacentral:rRNA from 1 species
AUGAGGCAGUACUGGUGGGGUGUGGAGAAUGGUAAGAUAAAGAUGGCAUGGCUAAGUUGGAAGAAGAUGGUGGUUCCCAAAUCUAUGGGGGGCAUGGGCUUCCGGGACACGAGAGCUUUCAAUCAGGCCCUGCUUGCUAAGCAGGCGUGGCGUUUGUUGGAUUGCCCAGACAGCCUAUGUGCGAGACUUCUUAGGGCCAAAUAUUACCCGCAUGGCAAUCUUUUGGAUACAGUGUUCCCUACCAGCUCGUCCGCAGUUUGGAAGGGGAUUGUUCAUGGUCUCGAGUUGGUGAAGAAAGGCAUCAUUUGGCAUGUGGGAGACGGGACACUGAUUAGAACAUGGAGAGAUGCAUGGAUUCCAAGGGGCCAUAAUCUCCGGCCAAUCACACCAAAGCGAAACUGCAGACUUAAUUGGGUGGCGGAUUUCUUAACUAAACAAGGUGCUUGGAAUGAACAAAGGUUGCGAGAACAUUUUUGGGACAUGGACGUACGGGAAAUUCUUAAAAUCCGUACCUCACCAAGAAAUGGCCAAGAUUUCACUGCGUGGUUUCCGGAGAGGAGCGGGCAAUUCUCUGUAAGGAGUGCCUACAGACUCGCAACGCUGAGUGUGGACCCGGGUAGUGUUGGGGAACGUAGCAGAAUUUUAAAAUUUUCUACGCAUCACCAAGAUCUAUCUAUGGAGUCAUCUAGCAACGAGGGAGAGAGGAGUGCAUCUACAUACCCUUGUAGAUCACGAGCGGAAGCGUUCAAGAGAACGAGGUUGAUGGAGUCGUACUCGUCGUGA